CUUAAAAUAUGUAUGCUCAAUUUAAAAAGCUGUUUGCUCAAUAUAUACUUAAUAUAUAAAUAUUACCUUAUGAUUCCUAAACAUUUUAGAAAAUAUGAUAGUUGUAAUAUUACUAUGUAUUACAAAUGCACCAAGCCAUUAUGUGUGGGUAAAGGGAUAUUUAAAAACAAUAUCUUUCAUAUAUCCAAACAAUGCACUGCUCUUGCCUGCUUAGAAAGUUUAUCUAAAAUAUUUUCUCCAGCAUCAUUUGAGACCAUAACCAACCUAGCAUCAUUUAUAAUCCAUUCAGGAACUUAACCAAUCAAGCCAUUGAAGAUUAUUCAAUAAAUCAAUUAAUUUUUUUAAAGCAAAAUGCCUAAUAUAAAUUUAUAAAAUCUAAAUUUAAUAAAAAUCUACUAUUUUCUAAUAAUUAUUUAUAUUCUCAAAAUAGAGAAAACUAUUAUAUGCAUACAUAGAUAUUUAUUAAUUAUUAGGUUUUUACCUAAAAAUUCACAUCACUCUUUAUCAAUAUUAUGAUCAUGCCGUCAAAAUUUUCAUUUUUUAAUGCUUUUUAUACCAAAUUUACACCAUUUUAUAUAAUAUUGAUAUGCAAAAAGUAAUUACAAUAAUUUUAUAUAUUACUAUUGAAAUACAAAUUGCAAUCA